rnacentral:rRNA from 1 species
GAUGAACGCUGGCGGCGUGCCUAACACAUGCAAGUCGAACGGAAAGACGCUAAGCUUGCGGGGUGCUCGAGGGGGGAACGCGUGUGUGAAACGUGUGUAUCCUGCCCUUGAAUUUCGGGGAACAUCAGGAAACAGGGGAUAAUACCGGAGAGGAGAUCCUGCUGCACGGUGGGCGUUGGAAAGUUGCGGCGGUUGGGGAUGGACUUGCGGCUUAUCAGCUUGUUGGUGGGGUAGGGGCAUACCCAGGCGAUGAGGGGUAGCCGGCCUGAGAGGCUGAUGGGCCACCCGGGAACUGAGACAGGGUCAAGACUCCUAAGGGAGGCAGCAGUCUGGAAUGGGGGGCAAUGGGCGAAAGCCUGACCCAGCCAGCCGGCGUGAGAGACGAAGGCCUUCGGUUCGUAAAGCCCUCUUGUGGGGUAAGAACAGCUUUCGGCUAAUACGUAGCGUUAGUGACGGUACCGGAUGAAGAAGCACCGGCUAACUACGUG